rnacentral:rRNA from 1 species
UACGUAGGAGGCAAGCGUUGUCCGGAUUUAUUGGGCGUAAAGAGCGUGUAGGCGGCCAUGUAGGUCCGUUGUGAAAACUCGAGGCUCAACCUCGAGACGCCGAUGGAAACCAUGUGGCUAGAGUCCGGAAGAGGAGAGUGGAAUUCCUGGUGUAGCGGUGAAAUGCGCAGAUAUCAGGAGGAACACCAGCGGCGAAGGCGGCGCUCUGGGCCGGUACUGACGCUGAGGAGCGAAAGCGUGGGGAGCAAACAGG